rnacentral:tRNA from 1 species
GAGGGUAUAGCUCAGUGGUAGAGUGCAUGCCUCGCAUCUGUGUGGUCCUGGGUUCAAUCCCUAGUACCUCUA